rfam:Oryza nivara chromosome 6, whole genome shotgun sequence.
AAAAAGACAAACCCUUAAUUUUCGUGUCCAAUGUUUGAUUAUUUGUCUUAUAUGAAAUUUCUUUUAUAAUUAGUAUUUUCAUUGUUAUUAGAUGAUAAAACAUGAUUAAUAUUUUAUGCGUGAUUUGUCUUUUUAAUUUUUUAAAUAAGGCGGACGGUCAAACGUUGGACAUGAAAAUUGAGGGUUUGUCUUUUU